ensembl:Y_RNA Y_RNA Y RNA
GGCUGGUCCGAAGGCAGUGGUUGUUACAAUUAAUUGAUUACAGACAGUUACAGAUUUCUUUGUUCUUUCUCCCCUUCCACUGCUCCUCUUGACUAGCCUUUU